AUUUGAAAUUGUGCAGGUAGUGUAUGUACGACUGACCGUAGGAACAUUCAAUGAAUGAUUUGUCGGAUAGACUCUCCGAAUCUCAUAAUAUUUUGAGCCGAUGUGUUCACUUAUUGUUUUUUUGAAUUAUUGAAACCACCUUGUAGAUGCUAUGACUUGGCAUACGUUAACUUUCCUUUGAUGUUCUACAUAUGACAGAAACCGAAUGAAAGGACUCGCAACUCUGCACCUUGUCUGAGUGGCACAUAUCGGAUGUGUACGUGGCAGUCCCGCCAGAGCUCUGGCUAGGGAAAGUGUACCAUAUGCUGUCUAACUGAACUUUAUGCUACUACUACUACGCUAGUUCGCUGUCGAAUUACCAGAACGUGAAAGACUGUGUUGUACGGUGGUGGCCAAUUAUUAUCAUUCUAUUUUUUGUAUGUUUACGUAGACAAGAUUUCUGCAUUUCAACUGCACUGUUAAUUAUUCAUCAUGGUUGAGUUCAAAGAUCCAAAUUCACCAAUGGAAGAAGGGUUCGACAAUCGUGUGUUCAUCGUUCCAGCCAUCAUAAUCAUAGGUUUGAUUGGCUUUGUCGUCUACAAGCUUGCAACAAGCAUCCAUGGCAGGGAGAAGGCACGGAGGGACAAGAAACAGAAGAAAUUGGAAUCUCGACGGAGAUAACGUGAGACAAGAAAGCACCACUGCAACAUCUUUCUGCUAACUUUAGUUCAAGAACCAUUUUAAAACUUAAUUUGAAAGGUAUACAUAUCAAUCAGUGUCGAGGCCUAUUGGCCAACAUGAAAGUGAAAGACUGAAAUUAAGGUUUAGUCUAUGACAUACAGUGUACAUUUUAUUAAUUUUACAUAACAAAUUACUAGCCAUGAUUCAUUAAGUCAGUGCAAUUUCUUGUUUGUUUUAUGUAGAAAUAUUUACCGUAGUCUAUAUGAUAAAAAUGAAAAAAGAAAACAGAAAAAUUAUUCCAUUUUCUUUUAUAUUUGUAUGUAGUUUGACUUUGAUUGAAGUUGUUGAAUUUCCAUUUUGAUUUUAAUUUUUCCUUGGAUACGUACAUGUAAACAUGUAUCGUGCCAUAGUCUGCAAAUUAAAGUCCUUCUAAGAAGAUGUACAGAAUGAAAAAGCUUCUGUUCUGAGUCUUCUGACCUUUUGAAUGCUGUAAGAUUUUGUCAUCUUUCUUUGUAAGGAGUUCAGCAAUAUACUCUUUGAUUUGAAAA